AUUGAACGCUGGCGGCAUGCUUUACACAUGCAAGUCGAACGGUAACAGGCCGCAAGGUGCUGACGAGUGGCGAACGGGUGAGUAAUGCAUCGGAACGUGCCCAGUCGUGGGGGAUAACGCAGCGAAAGCUGCGCUAAUACCGCAUACGAUCUAUGGAUGAAAGCGGGGGACCGUAAGGCCUCGCGCGAUUGGAGCGGCCGAUGUCAGAUUAGGUAGUUGGUGGGGUAAAGGCUCACCAAGCCAACGAUCUGUAGCUGGUCUGAGAGGACGACCAGCCACACUGGGACUGAGACACGGCCCAGACUCCUACGGAGGCAGCAGUGGGGAAUUUUGGACAAUGGGCGCAAGCCUGAUCCAGCAAUGCCGCGUGCAGG
rnacentral:rRNA from 1 species